UAUAAUUGGAUGCCAAACUUUUACAAACAUUGUUUGUUUUUUCUAUUAAUGAUAUCUCAACUCAUCUAAAUGUAAUACAUUGCUCAGUUCCUGAAGCCACAUUUAAAGGAUAUCAAGCAGAGCCUUCCACGUCUUAAGAUUCAGUGUGACACCUGUUGCAGGUGGUCCCAUGUGGAUCAACAUGGACUCGGCAACGAUUCAGCAGGCAGAGAGUAGUGACUGGAAUUGUAUUAUUUGCG